UUUUAAUUGGGAUUUGGGGUCCAUUAAUGGGAUUUGGGGUCACUUCAAUGGGAUUUGGGGUCACUUCAAUGGGAUUUGGGGUCCAUUAAUGGGAUUUGGGGUCACUUUAAUGGGAUUUGGGGUCCAUUAAUGGGUUUGGGGUCACUCAAUGGAUUGGGGUGCAAUUAAUGGAUUUGGGGUCACUUCAAUGGGAUUUGGGGUCACUUUAAUGGGAUUUUGGGUCCAUUAAUGGGAUUUGGGGUCACUUUAAUGGGGUUUUGAGCCACAGAAUGGGGUUUUGGGGCACUUUAUUGGGGUUUUGGGGUCACUUUAAUGGGGUUUUGAGUCACAUAAUGGGGUUUUGGGGCACUUUAUUGGGAUUUGGGGUCCAUUAAUGGGAUUUCGAGCCACAGAAUGGGGUUUUGGGGCACUUUAUUGGGGUUUUGGGGUCACUUUAAUGGGGUUUUGAGCCACAUAAUGGGGUUUUGGGGCACUUUAUUGGGGUUUUGGGGUCACUUUAAUGGGGUUUUGGGGCUACGCAAUGGGAUUUGGGGUCAAUUAAUGGGAUUUCGGGGCUACGCAAUGGGAUUUGGGGUCACUUUAAUGGGAUUUGGGGUCACUUUAAUGGGGUUUUGAGUCACAUAAUGGGGUUUUGGGGCACUUUAUUGGGGUUUUGGGGUCACUUUAAUGGGGUUUUGGGUCUCAUCAGUGGGAUUUUGGGUCACUUCAUUGGGAUUUGGGGUACGUUAAUGGGAUUUCGAGCCACGUAAUGGGAUUUUGGGUCUAUGUAAUGGGAUUUCGAGCCACGUAAUGGGAUUUCGGGUCUACGGAAUGGGAUUUUGGGUCUAUGUAUUGGGAUUUUGGGUCAUGCUAGUGGGAUUCUGGGUCUUGUUAAUGGGAUUUCGAGCCACGGAAUGGGAUUUUGGGUCUCGUUAAUGGGAUUUUGGGUACAUUAAUGGGAUUUCGGGUCUACGUAAUGGGAUUUCGAGCCACGUAAUGGGAUUUUGGGUACGUUAAUGGGAUUUUGGGUCUACGUAAUGGGAUUUCGAGCCACGGAAUGGGAUUUUGGGUCACUUUAUUGGGGUUUUGUGUACGGUAAUGGGAUUUCGAGCCACAUAAUGGGAUUUCGAGCCACGUAGUGGGAUUUUGGGUCUUGUUAUUGGGAUUUUGGGUACGUUAAUGGGAUUUUGGGUCUACGUAAUGGGAUUUCGAGCUACGUAAUGGGAUUUUGGGUCUACGGAAUGGGAUUUGGGGUUGUGGUCAUGGGAUUUUGGGGCUACGCAAUGGGAUUUGGGGUGCAUUCAUGGGAUUUUGGGGCUACGCAAUGGGGUUUGGGGUACAUUCAUGGGAUUUGGGGGCUACGCAAUGGGAUUUGGGGUUGUGGUCAUGGGAUUUUGGGGCUACGCAAUGGGAUUUGGGGUACAUUAAUGGGGUUUUGGGGGCUACGCAAUGGGAUUUGGGGUUGUGGUCAUGAAAGAUUUUUUGGGCUACACAAUGGGGUUGGGUGCAAUAUGGGGUUUGGGGGCUACGCAAUGGGGUUUGGGGUUGUGGUCAUGGGAUUUGGGGGCUACACAAUGGGGUUUCGGGUCUACGUAAUGGGAUUUUGGGUCUACGUAAUGGGAUUUCGAGCCACAUAGUGGGGUUCUGGGUCACUUUAUUGGGAUUUUGGGUCUACGCAAUGGGAUUUGGGGUUGUGGUCAUGGGAUUUUGGGGCUACGCAAUGGGAUUUGGGGUACAUUCAUGGGAUUUGGGGGCUACGCAAUGGGGUUUCGGGUCUAUAUAAUGGGAUUUUGGGUCUACGUAAUGGGAUUUCGAGCCACGUAAUGGGAUUUUGGGUCUACAUAAUGGGAUUUUGGGUCUACGUAAUGGGAUUUCGAGCCACGUAAUGGGAUUUUGGGUCUACGUAAUGGGAUUUCGAGUCCCGCUAAUGGGAUUUUGGCUGGGAUCGCCCCCUCUAGGCCCCUAUAGGGCCAGGUAGAGCGUGAUGGGGCAGUGGUCGCUUCCCAUGGCCGCGGAGCGGAUCUUGGAGUCGCACAGCGCCUCCCGGAGUCGCGUGGAGAGGAGGAAAUAAUCCAACCUCCAGCCCACGUUGCGCUCCCGGGCGCCCCCCAUAUAGGUCCAAAAGGUGUACGCGUUGGGGACGUCGGGGUAAAGGAGGCGGAAGGAAUCCAAAAACCCCCCAUCCAAAAGGGCCCCGAAAGCGUCCCGUUCUUCUUGGGUGAAUCCGGGGGACCUCCGGUUGCUUUUGGGGUUCCUGAGGUCGAUCUCACGGUGGGCCACGUUGAGGUCCCCGCAGAGGACGACGGGUUUUUGGGCGUCCAAACGUUGCAGGAAGGAUUUAAAGGCUCCGUCCCAACGUUGGCGGUAUUGGCAGCGGUGGUGAGAACCCCGGACCGAAAUUUGGGACGUAGGCUGAGACCACGUAGACGGAGGGGAAUUCCGCCGUCAAGACCCGGCCUCGGGCCGUCGUGCUCCUCUAUGCUAUGGGGGG
ensembl:lncRNA